UCGAGGGGCAGCAUGAUUGAAGCUUGCUUCAAUCGAUGGCGACCGGCGCACGGGUGAGUAACACGUAUCCAACCUGCCGAUAACUCGGGGAUAGCCUUUCGAAAGAAAGAUUAAUACCCGAUAGUAUAGUAUUUCCGCAUGGUUUCACUAUUAAAGAAUUUCGGUUAUCGAUGGGGAUGCGUUCCAUUAGAUAGUUGGCGGGGUAACGGCCCACCAAGUCAACGAUGGAUAGGGGUUCUGAGAGGAAGGUCCCCCACAUUGGAACUGAGACACGGUCCAAACUCCUACGGGAGGCAGCAGUGAGGAAUAUUGGUCAAUGGACGAGAGUCUGAACCAGCCAAGUAGCGUGAAGGAUGACUGCCCUAUGGGUUGUAAACUUCUUUUAUACGGGAAUAAAGUGGAGUAUGCAUACUCCUUUGUAUGUACCGUAUGAAUAAGGAUCGGCUAACUCCGUGCCAGCAGCCGCGGUAAUACGGAGGAUCCGAGCGUUAUCCGGAUUUAUUGGGUUUAAAGGGAGCGUAGGCGGGUGCUUAAGUCAGUUGUGAAAGUUUGCGGCUCAACCGUAAAAUUGCAGUUGAUACUGGGCGCCUUGAGUGCAGCAUAGGUAGGCGGAAUUCGUGGUGUAGCGGUGAAAUGCUUAGAUAUCACGAAGAACUCCGAUUGCGAAGGCAGCUUACUGGACUGUAA
rnacentral:rRNA from 1 species